rnacentral:rRNA from 1 species
AGAGUUUGAUCCUGGCUCAGAACGAACGCUGGCGGCGUGGAAUUAGGCAUGCAAGUCGAACGAUCCCGCAAGGGAUAGUGGCGAAAGGGUGCGUAACACGUGGGCAAUCUGCCCCCGAAACGGGAAUAACUUCGGGAAACCGAAGCUAAUACCUGAUGACACCGAGCUGCCGCAUGGUGGCACGGUGAAAGGCGUCCGCAAGGGUGCCGAUCGGGGAUGAGCCCGCGGCCUAUCAGCUAGUUGGUGAGGUAACGGCCCACCAAGGCGAUGACGGGUAGCCGGCCUGAGAGGGUGGUCGGCCACAUUGGGACUGAGACACUGCCCAGACCCCUACGGGAGGCUGCAGUCGAGGAUCUUCCGCAAUGGGGGAAACCCUGACGGAGCGACGCCGCGUGGAGGAUGAAGGCCUUCGGGUCGUAAACUCCUGUCAGUCUGGAAGAAAAUCUGCAGCAAUGUGGAUUGACCGUACAGGCAGAGGAAGCUCCGGCUAACUCCGUGCCAGCAGCCGCGGUAAUACGGAGGGAGCGAGCGUUGUUCGGAAUCAUUGGGCGUAAAGGGCAUGUAGGCGGCUCUGUAAGUCGGGUGUGAAAUCCCAUCUCUCAAGGGUGGAACGGCAUUCGAAACUGCAGGGCUUGAGUUCGGGGGAAGAGAGCGGAAUUCUCGGUGUAGCGGUGAUAUGCGUAGAUAUCGAGAAGAACACCAGCGGCGUAAGCGGCUCUCUAUCCUGAAACUGACGCUGAGGUGCGAAAGCCAGGGGAGCGAACGGGAUUAGAUACCCCGGUAGUCCUGGCCAUAAACGAUGUGCACUUGGUGUUGGGCCGCGAGGCUCAGUGCCGAAGCUAACGCAUUAAGUGCACCGCCUGGGGAGUACGACCGCAAGGUUGAAACUCAAAGGAAUUGACGG